UACAGAGGUCCCAAGCGUUGUUCGGAUUCACUGGGCGUAAAGGGUGCGUAGGUGGUUGGGUAAGUCUGAUGUGAAAUCUCCGAGCUUAACUCGGAAAUGGCAUUGGAUACUAUUCGGCUAGAGGGUUUGAGGGGGGACUGGAAUACUUGGUGUAGCAGUGAAAUGCGUAGAGAUCGGGAGGAACAUCAGUGGCGAAGGCGGCCAUCUGGAUCAACACUGACGCUGAGGCACGAAAGCGUGGGGAGCAAACAGG
rnacentral:rRNA from 1 species